ACUUACAAGAACUGGACCCUAACAGAACCAUUUAUUGAAGAGACCGUCUUUUCUCCAUUGAGGGGCUCUCCUUCUUGGGACAACUACUUUCCCCCCUUGGAAUGACAAUUCCCAUCCCUUAUUUAAGACUGAGAGAGAUGGCUCCUUCAUUCCAUGAAAGGGGAGGAAAGUGUAUUGACUGAGUUGACUCAGGAGAACCACAGACUUCAGGUUCUCUAAAGGAGAAGCAGAAGAGGAACCCUGAAACAGAACAAGAGAAUGGGUCUUCCCUCAACUGGUAUUUGUUAUGACUCCUAGAAACUAGGAAAAUUUCCUUACUGUAUUAAAUUCAGACCCUUACAAAAUCAGAACCCUCUAUAUCAUAAGAUGGUUCAGUAAGGCCACCUAAUCUCCUUUAUAUAAUCACCAAUAAAAAACAGAAAGGCGUUCUGGGUAAGCCA
rnacentral:lncRNA from 1 species